rnacentral:rRNA from 1 species
UACGGGGGGGGCAAGCGUUGUUCGGAAUUACUGGGCGUAAAGGGCUCGUAGGCGGCCAACUAAGUCCGACGUGAAAUCCCCAGGCUUAACCUGGGAACUGCGUCGGAUACUGGAUGGCUUGAAUCCGGGAGAGGGAUGCGGAAUUCCAGGUGUAGCGGUGAAAUGCGUAGAUAUCUGGAGGAACACCGGUGGCGAAGGCGGCACCCUGGACCGGCAUUGACGCUGAGGAGCGAAAGCCAGGGGAGCAAACGGG